rnacentral:rRNA from 1 species
AGAGUUUGAUCCUGGCUCAGAUUGAACGCUGGCGGAAUGCUUUACACAUGCAAGUCGAACGGCAGCACGGGGGCAACCCUGGUGGCGAGUGGCGAACGGGUGAGUAAUACAUCGGAACGUGCCCAGUCGUGGGGGAUAACGCAGCGAAAGCUGUGCUAAUACCGCAUACGAUCUACGGAUGAAAGCGGGGGACUCGCAAGAGCCUCGCGCGAUUGGAGCGGCCGAUGGCAGAUUAGGUAGUUGGUGGGGUAAAGGCUCACCAAGCCURCGAUCUGUAGCUGGUCUGAGAGGACGACCAGCCACACUGGGACUGAGACACGGCCCAGACUCCUACGGGAGGCAGCAGUGGGGAAUUUUGGACAAUGGGCGCAAGCCUGAUCCAGCCAUUCCGCGUGCAGGAUGAAGGCCCUCGGGUUGUAAACUGCUUUUUGUACGGAACGAAAAGGCUUUCUCUAAUACAGAGAGCUCAUGACGGUACCGUAAGAAUAAGCACCGGCUAACUACGUGCCAGCAGCCGCGGUAAUA